CACUCAUCCGCUUCGCGGAUCCCGGACCGUUGUGGGUUCCAGCUCGGUGUGUGCGACCGGCACUUAAACAACAUGGCAUGGCACCAGGGACUGUCGAAUCCCAUACCGGAGUUUCAGCUGACCUUGGAGGAGACCGCGUUGCCCCCCGAGUCGACAACGACGGGACGGAAACGGAGGAGGCGUAGCGUCCCAAGCCAGCCCGUGACAUGGGGAGCAGUAAAAGCAUUGGUCGCCGCGGCUCAACGAAGACUGGCAGCAGAUCAACAGCCAGAGACUCCUGAGACUUUGUUUGUGGCGAUUCUCGCCCAAAUCACUGCUAAUUCUGUGAUGAUUGUGUGCCUUUUGUGCCUGCUAUCUCCUGUAGGGGUUGGCUCGGAAGCGCCUCCCCCGUUAUAAGCCCGAAUGACAUAUAACAUAUGGGAAAGAUUGGCUUCAAUAGCAAAUGUUACCUGUGCGUGUGUAGUUAAUUGUACUAGUAUAAAGGUGCCCUUAGGCUGUCGAAAAAUUUUUUAACCUCUUUUAAAUUGUUCCCAUGCUGUUAAUGUUUUAUAUAAUUAUGGCCAUAUCAUCCUACCAUCAGGAUGGGUUUUUACUUGCGGUUCACGCACCUUUAAUUAUAUUCCUGCAAAUGUAAGUGAUGGCACCCUUUGCUGUUUUAGUAGAAUGAUAUUUAUAUUGCCUUUUUCUGGUGACAAUUGUAGUAAAAGAAGUGUACCCCUUUUAGAUGAUUAUAUUGCAGAUGUUGAGCUUUUGGUUAUUUUGUGUUUGUAAUCAUUGGGCUUACUUUUUGCUGCUGCUGUGUACAAUGUAUUCUUUCCUUGUUAAGAUUUUGUAAAAUUUUGCCCUGGAAAGCUCCCCAGGUUAUGUCCUUGUCUGUCUGGGAGUUAAAUAGCAUGACAAAACAAAUUGACGGCUACCAUGAGAUGGCCAAAUAUCAAUAAAUAAAAAAACGGGGAGAUGAAGGGUUAAUGUUUAGCUAGUCCACCUGGAAGCAGGCGGGGCACACCCUGACUGUUUCGUAGAAGCAAUACACACAUUGCUCUAUCCAAGGACAAGGGCUAGAUAUGAACCAUGAGAACUUGAUUGUUUGGACAGCAAUUGUGGGAGGCUUUCUUAGCCUGGGCUCAAGGCCUGAGAACCAGGAUUGUAGUAGAUAGGGGAUGGUAACUAAGUAUAUGAAUUAACGUCAUACAUUCCUUUGUGUAGCAGUGUGUAAUGCUUAGGGGGAGAAAUAUAAUAAAAGGAGAAGGUGGAAGGCGGGGGGGCAGAACGCCCAUCUCAGCUGACCAGCCUGCUU